rnacentral:rRNA from 1 species
GACGAACGCUGGCGGCGUGCUUAACACAUGCAAGUCGAACGGAAAGGCCCUGCUUUUGUGGGGUGCUCGAGUGGCGAACGGGUGAGUAACACGUGAGUAACCUGCCCUUGACUUUGGGAUAACUUCAGGAAACUGGGACUAAUACCGGAUAGGAGCUCCUGCUGCAUGGUGGGGGUUGGAAAGUUUCGGCGGUUGGGGAUGGACUCGCGGCUUAUCAGCUUGUUGGUGGGGUAGUGGCUUACCAAGGCUUUGACGGGUAGCCGGCCUGAGAGGGUGACCGGCCACAUUGGGACUGAGAUACGGCCCAGACUCCUACGGGAGGCAGCAGUGGGGAAUAUUGCACAAUGGGCGGAAGCCUGAUGCAGCAACGCCGCGUGCGGGAUGACGGCCUUCGGGUUGUAAACCGCUUUCGCCUGUGACGAAGCGUGAGUGACGGUAAUGGGUAAAGAAGCACCGGCUAACUACGUGCCAGCAGCCGCGGUGAUACGUAGGGUGCGAGCGUUGCCGGAUUUAUUGGGCGUAAAGGGCUCGUAGGUGGUUGAUCGCGUCGGAAGUGUAAUCUUGGGGCUUAACCCUGAGCGUGCUUUCGAUACGGGUUGACUUGAGGAAGGUAGGGGAGAAUGGAAUUCCUGGUGGAGCGGUGGAAUGCGCAGAUAUCAGGAGGAACACCAGUGGCGAAGGCGGUUCUCUGGGCCUUUCCUGACGUUGAGGAGCGAAAGCGUGGGGAGCGAACAGGCUUAGAUACCCUGGUAGUCCACGCUGUAAACGGUGGGUACUAGGUGUGGGGUCCAUUCCACGGGUUCCGUGCCGUAGCUAACGCUUUAAGUACCCCGCCUGGGGAGUACGGCCGCAAGGCUAAAACUCAAAGGAAUUGACGGGGCCCCGCACAAGCGGCGGAGCAUGCGGAUUAAUUCGAUGCAACGCGUAGAACCUUACCUGGGUUUGACAUGGAUCGGGAGCGCUCAGAGAUGGGUGUGCCUCUUUUGGGGUCGGUCCACAGGUGGUGCAUGGCUGUCGUCAGCUCGUGUCGUGAGAUGUUGGGUUAAGUCCCGCAACGAGCGCAACCCUUGUUCACUGUUGCCAGCACGUUAUGGUGGGGACUCAGUGGAGACCGCCGGGGUCAACUCGGAGGAAGGUGGGGAUGACGUCAAGUCAUCAUGCCCCUUAUGUCCAGGGCUUCACGCAUGCUACAAUGGCUGGUACAGAGAGUGGCGAGCCUGUGAGGGUGAGCGAAUCUCGGAAAGCCGGUCUCAGUUCGGAUUGGGGUCUGCAACUCGACCUCAUGAAGUCGGAGUCGCUAGUAAUCGCAGAUCAGCAACGCUGCGGUGAAUACGUUCCCGGG